rnacentral:rRNA from 1 species
UGGGGAAUCUUGCACAAUGGGCGAAAGCCUGAUGCAGCAACGCCGCGUGCGGGAAGACAGCCCUAGGGUUGUAAACCGCUUUCAGCAGGGAAGAAACUGACGGUACCUGCAGAAGAAGAUGCGGCCAACUACGUGCCAGCAGCCGCGGUGACACGUAGGCAUCAAGCGUUAUCCGGAUUUAUUGGGCGUAAAGAGCUCGUAGGCGGUUCGGUAAGUCGGGUGUGAAACUCUGGGCUCAACCCAGAGAGGCCACUCGAUACUGCUGUGACUAGAGUGCGGUAGGGGAGCGGGGAAUUCCUGGUGUAGCGGUGAAAUGCGCAGAUAUCAGGAGGAACACCAGUGGCGAAGGCGCCGCUCUGGGCCGUAACUGACGCUGAGGAGCGAAAGCAUGGGUAGCAAACAGGAUUAGAUACCCUGGUAGUCCAUGCCGUAAACGUUGGGCACUAGGUGUGGGUCUCAACCGAACG